rnacentral:misc_RNA from 1 species
AUGAAGAACGUAGCGAAAUGCGAUAAGUAAUGUGAAUUGCAGAAUUCAGUGAAUCAUCGAAUCUUUGAACGCACAUUGCGCCCGCCAGUAUUCUGGCGGGCAUGCCUGUUCGAGCGUCAUUUCAACCAUCAAGCCCCCGGCUUGUGUUGGGGACCUGCGGCUGCCGCAGGCCCUGAAAAGCAGUGGCGGGCUCGCUGUCACACCGAGCGUAGUAGAUUUCAUCUCGCUCAGGGCGUGCUGCGGGUUCCGGCCGUUAAACCACCUUCAUAACCCAAGGUUGACCUCGGAUCAGGUAGGAAGACCCGCUGAACUUAAGCAUAUCAAUAAGCGGAGGA